AUUGAACGCUGGCGGAAUGCUUUACACAUGCAAGUCGAACGGCAGCACGGGGGCAACCCUGGUGGCGAGUGGCGAACGGGUGAGUAAUACAUCGGAACGUGCCCGGUCGUGGGGGAUAACGUAGCGAAAGUUACGCUAAUACCGCAUACGAUCUGAGGAUGAAAGCGGGGGACCUUCGGGCCUCGCGCGAUCGGAGCGGCCGAUGUCAGAUUAGGUAGUUGGUGGGGUAAAGGCCUACCAAGCCGACGAUCUGUAGCUGGUCUGAGAGGACGACCAGCCACACUGGGACUGAGACACGGCCCAGACUCCUACGGGAGGCAGCAGUGGGGAAUGUUGGACAAUGGGCGCAAGCCUGAUCCAGCCAUGCCGCGUGCAGGACGAAGGCCUUCGGGUUGUAAACUGCUUUUGUAUGGAACGAAAAGGCUCUGGCUAAUACCUGGGGCUCAUGACGGUACCGUAAGAAUAAGCACCGGCUAACUACGUG
rnacentral:rRNA from 1 species